rnacentral:rRNA from 1 species
UACGUAGGAAGCAAGCGUUGUCCGGAAUCACUGGGCGUAAAGCGCGUGUAGGCGGUACGGCAAGUCUGCUGUGAAAGCCCUCGGCUUAACCGGGGGAGGUCGGUGGAAACUGCCGCACUGGAGGACGGUAGAGGGGGGUGGAAUUCCCGGUGUAGUGGCGAAAUGCGUAGAGAUCGGGAGGAACACCUGUGGCGAAGGCGGCCCCCUGGGCCGGCCCCUGACGGCUGAGACGCGAAAGCGCGGGGAGCGAACGGG